CCUACGGGAGGCAGCAGUGGGGAAUAUUGGGCAAUGGGCGCAAGCCUGACCCAGCAACGCCGCGUGAAGGAAGAAGGCUUUCGGGUUGUAAACUUCUUUUAUGAGGGACGAAACAAAUGACGGUACCUCAUGAAUAAGCCACCGCUAACUACGGGCCAGCAGCCGCGGCAAUACGGAGGUGGCAGUCUUUAUCCGGAUUUACUGGGUGUAAAGGGCUGGUAGGCGGGACUGCAAGUCAGAUGUGAAAAUUAUGGGCUCAACCCAUAACGUGCUUUUGAAACUGUCGUUCUUGAGUGGUGGAGAGGCAGGCGGAAUGCGGGGUGUAGCGGUGAAAUGCGUAGAUAUACGGAGGAACUCCAGUGGCGAAGGCGGCCUGCUGGACAUUCACUGACGCUGAGGCGCGAAAGCGUGGGGAGCGAACAGGAUUAGAUACCCGGGUAGUC
rnacentral:rRNA from 1 species